rnacentral:tRNA from 1 species
GCUGCCCUAGCUCAGAGGUAGAGCACCUCAUUGGUAGUGAGGAGGCCGUCGGUUCAAGCCCGACGGGCAGCACCA